GUCUAAUUCAACACGUUGCUGGUGUUGGUAGCCGUUAACGCGCCUACCUGUGUUUCUCUCUUGGACUCCGACGUGUAGGAGGACUCAUGGUAAUGGCUAUAUUUGACCAAAGAGAGGCGUAGCCUGCAUUGAAAGAGGCGUUGACAAGGUGGCCAAGAUGUUGAUAAAAGUAAAACACAGAGAGACAAAGAAAUAUGUAAAAUUGGAAGAGGUCUGUUUCACAGACGAGUGCAGUGCAGCAGAAGUUUCUCAUACCAGAAAAUGCAGCACUGAAAGUGAGCAGGAUAUAGAGGUGGAUGAGGAUGUCUUUCCUGAACUUGCAACAGUCAAAUAAGUUUGUUUUGUCAUCUAUACAGCUGAAGAUUUUACUGUCCUGAAGCAACAUGUGGAAGAGCCCUCAUCUCCAAGUCUAACAGAUACAUCCCAUGCGCAGUCUCAGUUCCCCCAGCUUUCACUGCAAUCUUCAAAGCCCUUCUGGACACAUUGGGAAACCUCUUCCUUACUGCCACUGUAACAAACAACAGUCACAGUUCUAUUACUUUUAUCAGAUUUAAAAUAAAAAUAUGUUUUAUGUUAGCUGGCUUCAUUUAGCAAACAGAUAAUUCUGUUUAUAUAGAUACAGAUUUUAAUACAGAUAUAUUUUACGCAUAAUUUUACCUCUUUUUUUUCCUAGAUGGAAAGUCUAUCCAGUUCACAUUACAGUAAUGCUAACACCCCUUUUGGUCAUCUCUCCUUACCCUCCAGCAUUCAUAAAUCUGUUGACCUUCUUUGUCUGAGACCACCCACUACAAUGCAUCACCACCUACUUGUGCAAUUUUUUUAGUGGUUGCAAAGUAAGUUACUUGUGCUGUAUGCAAUUUUAGAUACACAGAAAGUCUUCACUUACUAUAUAUGGCUGUCAUAGUGUCCUAGGGCAGUUCUUCACUCUGCGCCAAUGUCCGUUUUGUUCUGUCCUCCUAUAAAAAGCAUGAACAUUUGAGUGUCUGACUAGUUUUAGAUUUCCCAAAAUCUGAUAUUUGUACAACUAAACAUUUAAACUACAAUGAUAUGCUAUUGAGAGAUACUUUUAUGGGUACUUUUUGGUAAAGAAACUGGUGACAGAGAAGUAAGCUUUUUAAAAUACUAUUAGCUAACCAUUUGAACUGACUUUCAAAGCUGUUUACCUUUUAAAUUGCUGUGGAUCAAAACCUCCAGUGGGAAGGCGGCCAUUAGAAGAACACACACCACUGAACCUGAAAACAACAAAAACAAACAAAAAACAGAACAAUAUAUAAGAAUCCGGUAGGGUAAUAAAUCUCUUCUGAAGCAAUAUAGUUCAUUUUGGGUGAAAAACAAAACAUUCCUCUAAAAUAUAUAUACUGACAUCAGCAAUCAACAUCAUGAUUGCAAUUAUUUCCCUUCUAGUCCAUCUACUGCUCUGUGCAUGUGUCAAGCACUACGACUGUAUCUAUGCAUAUAAAUUCACCAUAAAUAUCCUGCAAAAAUGUCUUGUUAUGGUCAAAAAA